CCUACGGGAGGCAGCAGUGGGGAAUAUUGGGCAAUGGAGGCAACUCUGACCCAGCAACGCCGCGUGAAUGAUGAAGGCCUUCGGAUUGUAAAGUUCUGUGAUGGGGGAUGAACACAAUGACGGUACCCCAAUAGCAAGCCACGGCUAACUACGUGCCAGCAGCCGCGGUAAUACGUAGGUGGCAAGCGUUAUCCGGAUUGACUGGGCUUAAAGGGUGUGUAGGUGGUUUAGUAAGUCGGCGGUGUAAUUCCGGGGCUCAACCUCGGCGCUGCAGCCAAAACUAUUAGACUUGAGUGCAGGAAGGGAAGGUGGAAUUCCUAGUGUAGCGGUGGAAUGCGUAGAUAUUAGGAGGAACAUCAGGGGCGAAGGCGAGUGACUGGACUGCAACUGACGCUGAGGCACGAAAGCGUGGGGAGCAAACAGGAUUAGAUACCCUGGUAGUC
rnacentral:rRNA from 1 species